UUUCCGGUUGAUCCUGCCGGACCCGACUGCUAUUUGGGUGAGAAUAAGCCAUGCGAGUUGAAUGGGAUACCUAAGUUUCCCAUGGCAAACUGCUCAUUAACACAUGAUCAACUUACCCUAUAGAGAAAAAUAACCUCGGGAAACUGAGGAUAAUGUUUCGUAGUUGAAUAGGCUUGGAAAAGUUUUUCAAUAAAAGGGAUAAAAUAAAUGGUUUUUAUCUGCUAUAGGAUAGGAUCGUGGACGAUUAUGGUUGUUGGUGAGGUAACGGCUCACCAAGCCGAUAAUCGAUAGGGGCCGUGAGAGCGGGAGCCCCGAGAUGGGUACUGAGACAACGACCCAGGCCUUACGAGGCGCAGCAGGCGCGGAACCUCCGCAAUACACGAAAGUGUGACGGGGUUACCCAAAGUGUUCAAUUCUGAACUGUGGUAGGUGAGUAAUGUUCCCUACUAGAAAGGAGAGGGCAAGGCUGGUGCCAGCCGCCGCGGUAAAACCAGCUCUUCAAGUGGUCGGGAUAAUUAUUGGGCUUAAAGUGUCCGUAGCCGGUUUAGUAAGUUCCUGGUAAAAUCGGGUAGCUUAACUAUCCGUAUGCUAGGAAUACUGCUAUACUAGAGGGCGGGAGAGGUCUGAGGUACUACAGGGGUAGGGGUGAAAUCUUAUAAUCCUUGUAGGACCACCAGUGGCGAAGGCGUCAGACUGGAACGCGCCUGACGGUGAGGGACGAAAGCCAGGGGAGCGAACCGGAUUAGAUACCCGGGUAGUCCUGGCCGUAAACGAUGCAUACUAGGUGAUGGUACGGCCAUGAGCCGUAUCAGUGCCGUAGGGAAACCGUUAAGUGCGCCGCCUGGGAAGUACGGUCGCAAGGCUAAAACUUAAAGGAAUGGCGGGGGAGCACCACAAGGGGAAUUUC
rnacentral:rRNA from 1 species